CAUAUCUUCGUCAUCAUCGAGCAAAUGCUCUAAUUCAUCUCUUACCUGAAAAAUUAUGUAAGAAUUACCAGAUGAAGGGUAAUAGAAAAAAGUAGCUAAUACAUGACCACAAUUAUAAGAAAGUACCUAGAAAUUAUCAAGACAAUAAUGUUGAAAAAUAUGAUUUUGCUUAAAAAAAGCAAAAACCUAUGCCAUAUGCACCAUUUUUAUGUAAGUACAUGUAUACAUGAAAUCUAGCGCUCAAGGAAUGGAACAGUGCUAAAAUUUACGAAAAUCUUAAAGGACCAGUAGUAGAAGCAUUUUUACUCCAAGCGAUUAGUAACACCAAUCUGUCAGAAAAGAAUUGAUAAAGAAAAAGCCCCAAGUAUGAAAACUGCAUUGUAUUUGUAUUAUUAUUGCCCCUUGGGCAAAAUUUAUAUGAA
rnacentral:lncRNA from 1 species